AGUGCAUGCUGGGGAGUGUGGUUCGCUGUGGGUCAGACGCUCUAUGCUAGUGGGCGGAACUUCUUCCGAGUAACUACAGCCUGAGGAGGAAGCGUCUUUUUAGUUCCUACACUGGCGGUUAAGCUUGGGGGCCUCGGAGGUUGCAGUGUGGAGGGGCCCAGCAGCUACCGGGAUUGCUUUUCUUGAACACUACAAGCACGUGAAGGUAGUUGAAGUUCCCUAACAAUGGAUAAAUUCGUCAUUCGAACUCCUAGAAUCCAGAAUAGCCCUCAGAAGAAAGAUACUGGAGAAAAGAUUUACAAGCAGGCCACAAUUGAAUCUCUGAAGAGAGUUGUGGUUAUAGAAGACCUAAAAAGAUGGAAAGCUAUGUUGGAGCUUCCUGAUCAAAGCAAAGAGAAUCUAGUUGAAGCCUUACGAGAAUUAAAGAAGAAAAUACCCUCCAGGGAAGUGUUAAAAUCAACAAGGAUAGGUCACACUGUGAACAAGAUGCGUAAACACUCAGAUGCAGAAGUGGCUUGUCUUGCCGGAGAAGUUUAUACUGAAUGGAAAACUUUCAUUGAAAAACAUUUGGAUAGACCUUCUAUUGAAGUCCAAAGUGAUCCCAAGACGGAGUCAUUUAGGAAAAAUGCUCAGAAAUUACUCUCAGAAGCCUUGGAAUUAGAGAUGGAUCACCUACUGGUUGAAAAUAUUGAGCGGGAAACGUUUCAUCUCUGCUCCCGCCUCAUUAAUGGGCCGUACCGGCGGACGGUGAGAGCCCUGGUCUUCACAUUAAAGCACCGAGCUGAAAUCCGGGCUCAGGUGAAGAACGGCUCGUUGCCAGUCGGCACGUUUGUACAAACCUACAAAAAGUGACCUGAGGACGAUUCUAACCCUGGGACGGGCAGAGAAGAAAAUGGGCCUCUCCACCAUUCAAAGACGCUUUUGAGUUUGGGUGAUGGCUGAUGCCGGCUGUGCUAGAUUUUCCCCUGGUGCCGUUCCUUUGCAGACAGGAUGCAGAGAGCCCUGGGAGACGAGCCUGCAGGAACGUGCUUCAUUAGCUAUAGCGCUGGUGCUGCCUAACAGGACGCACACUGGCUGUCACUAGGAAGCACCAUACGGUUGCCAUCACCCAACGCCGUGAAAGGGUGACGGAUUUCACUGUGAGUAUGCCAAGGACACCUCUAAACUUCCCCCAUGUCAGGCAGAUGAAGUCGCUACUUUAUUUCACCACCCCGCAGUUUUUUAGAUCUAUUCAUUUAUUCAGCACCCAUUUGCUGAGUUCCAUGGAGUACGGUGGAUGCUGAGCAGUAGCUACAGAAAAAACCCUGAGGCUCACAGAGCAGAAGUACCUUGUUAAGUUUCCCACUCUGCUGUGCCAGAUGUGACAUCUUUCCUAGAACACAUCAACAUGUUCUCAGGUACAUGGUAGAACACAUAGGUGCAGAAACCAGGGAUGGAAGCCGGUGUGGUCUCGUUCUCACCAUUACUGCUGCUGCUGAGCAGUGGAGAGCAGGGAGGUGGAUCUUUGUACCCACUUCAUCCAUAUGGAAGCCUCUUGGUACUCUCCUGCCCAAUAUUUAUAAAAUAAAUAGCACAUCUCAAUUUGAGCUACCUGUUUUCAAGUGCUUACAGCCACAUGUGGCUAGUGGCUACUGUAUUGGAGAGCACAGGUCUGACAUGGAAACAUCACUGGGGCAUACUGUUAAGUGAAAAAGGAAGUUGCAGUGCCGUAUGUACAGUAUGAACUAUUAAUGUAAGGGAAAAAACUAUUUCCACAGGAACGUAUUGGGGAAAACAAGAAAAAACGAAGAUGUGUACUGAUACAUACCCAAUUUAAAGAUAAGUUUUAGAUGGGGUGAGGGGUUAUUGUUUAGGAGGGGCUCCUCACCUGAUUUGUUAAAAUAUUUUAUUUUGGAUUAAUUUUGAAUAUACAAAAAGUGGCAAAAAUACUCCAGAGAGUUCCUAUAUGUCCCUCACCCAGUUUCCACUACUGUUAACAUCUUAUAUUAAUGUGGUAUUAUACAUUUGUCAAAAUUAGAAGCUCACCAUUGGUACAUUACUAUUACUAAAUGCCAGACCUCACAGUCUUCCCACUGAAAUGUGCUUUUCUGUUCCAGGAUUCAGUGCAGGAUCCCACACUGCAUUCAUUUAGCGUGUCUAUCCUGGCUCCUCUGCUCUGUGACAGUUUCUCAGUCUUUCCUUGUUUCCCAUGACCUUGACAGUCUUGAGCAGUACUGGCCAGGUAUUCGGUAAAGUGUCCCUCAGUUUGGAGAUUAUGUCCCUAGAUGGGGAUUAUGGGUUUGGGGAAGAAUACCCCCAAGGCGAGUGCCCUUCUCAUCACGUCACACUGGGGCACGUGGCAUCCCCAGGGCUCACCACUGGGGAUGUUGGCCUUGAGUGCUGGUUAAGGUGGCGUUUGUCGGUGUCUCUCUGUGAACUGCUGUUUUUCCCUUUCCAUCCUCUACUCUUUGCAGUAGCUAAAUCCAGACUGCACUCAAAGAUUAGGGGACUGGGAAUGAAUUAAACCCACCUCCUAGAGGGUGGAGUAUCUACUUAUAUUAUUUGGAAAUCUUUAAGGAAGAUUUGUCCCUUCUCUCCCAUUUAUUUUGAUUAUUUAUAUCAAUGUGGACUCACAUAAAUUUAUUAAUAUUUUAUACAUUGGGUUUUGAUCAAUCUGAUUAUUUUUUCCACAGCAAAGAUAAAUUUAUGUACUGUGUAUUUUUUAAUACAGAAAACAUACAGGCCGGGCGCUGUGGCUCACGCCUGUAAUCCUAGCUCUU